UUUAAAUAUGGAUAUCCGUAAGUUUUUUCGUCAACAACAAAAAGAAAAAGAUAUAGAUGUUGCUCUUGCUAGUAAAAAUCAGCCAUCAGUUGAGUUGGUUUUCGUUGUAUCCUCAGAUGACGAAGAAAGACCAGACAUACCAUUAC